ACGAGCGAUUGUUUCUCGUGAUCACGUGUCUUUGUAUCAAUACAAAAUGGCGGAUCGGUGGGACUUUCGUUCGUUC
rnacentral:pre_miRNA from 1 species